GCAGUCGAGCGGUAGCACAGAGAGCUUGCUCUCGGGUGACGAGCGGCGGACGGGUGAGUAAUGUCUGGGAAACUGCCUGAUGGAGGGGGAUAACUACUGGAAACGGUAGCUAAUACCGCAUAACGUCGCAAGACCAAAGUGGGGGACCUUCGGGCCUCAUGCCAUCAGAUGUGCCCAGAUGGGAUUAGCUAGUAGGUGGGGUAACGGCUCACCUAGGCGACGAUCCCUAGCUGGUCUGAGAGGAUGACCAGCCACACUGGAACUGAGACACGGUCCAGACUCCUACGGGAGGCAGCAGUGGGGAAUAUUGCACAAUGGGCGCAAGCCUGAUGCAGCCAUGCCGCGUGUGUGAAGAAGGCCUUCGGGUUGUAAAGCACUUUCAGCGGGGAGGAAGGCGAUGAGGUUAAUAACCUUGUCGAUUGACGUUACCCGCAGAAGAAGCACCGGCUAACUCCGUGCCAGCAGCCGCGGUAAUACGGAGGGUGCAAGCGUUAAUCGGAAUUACUGGGCGUAAAGCGCACGCAGGCGGUCUGUCAAGUCGGAUGUGAAAUCCCCGGGCUCAACCUGGGAACUGCAUUCGAAACUGGCAGGCUAGAGUCUUGUAGAGGGGGGUAGAAUUCCAGGUGUAGCGGUGAAAUGCGUAGAGAUCUGGAGGAAUACCGGUGGCGAAGGCGGCCCCCUGGACAAAGACUGACGCUCAGGUGCGAAAGCGUGGGGAGCAAACAGGAUUAGAUACCCUGGUAGUCCACGCUGUAAACGAUGUCGAUUUGGAGGUUGUGCCCUUGAGGCGUGGCUUCCGGAGCUAACGCGUUAAAUCGACCGCCUGGGGAGUACGGCCGCAAGGUUAAAACUCAAAUGAAUUGACGGGGGCCCGCACAAGCGGUGGAGCAUGUGGUUUAAUUCGAUGCAACGCGAAGAACCUUACCUGGUCUUGACAUCCACAGAACUUUCCA
rnacentral:rRNA from 1 species